AUUGAACGCUGGCGGCAGGCCUAACACAUGCAAGUCGAGCGGAUGAAGGGAGCUUGCUCCUGGAUUCAGCGGCGGACGGGUGAGUAAUGCCUAGGAAUCUACCUGGUAGUGGGGGAUAACGUCCGGAAACGGGCGCUAAUACCGCAUACGUCCUGAGGGAGAAAGUGGGGGAUCUUCGGACCUCACGCUAUCAGAUGAGCCUAGGUCGGAUUAGCUAGUUGGUGGGGUAAAGGCCUACCAAGGCGACGAUCCGUAACUGGUCUGAGAGGAUGAUCAGUCACACUGGAACUGAGACACGGUCCAGACUCCUACGGGAGGCAGCAGUGGGGAAUAUUGGACAAUGGGCGAAAGCCCGAUCCAGCCAUGCCGCGUGUGUGAAGAAGGUCUUCGGAUUGUAAAGCACUUUAAGUUGGGAGGAAGGGCAGUAAGUUAAUACCUUGCUGUUUUGACGUUACCAACAGAAUAAGCACCGGCUAACUUCGUG
rnacentral:rRNA from 1 species